rnacentral:rRNA from 1 species
UUAAGUGACUAAGCGUACACGGUGGAUGCCUGGGCAGUCAGAGGCGAUGAAGGACGUACUAACUUGCGAUAAGCGCAGAUAAGGCAGUAAGAGCCGUUUGAGUCUGCGAUUUCCGAAUGGGGAAACCCAACUGCAUAAGCAGUUACUGUUAACUGAAUACAUAGGUUAACAGAGCAAACCGGGGGAACUGAAACAUCUAAGUACCCCGAGGAGAAGAAAUCAACCGAGAUUCCGGUAGUAGCGGCGAGCGAACCUGGAUUAGCCCUUAAGCACUCGGUGAAGUAGGUGAACAAGCUGGAAAGCUUGGCGAUACAGGGUGAUAGCCCCGUAACCGACGCUUCAUCGAGCGUGAAAUCGAGUAGGGCGGGACACGUGAUAUCCUGUCUGAAUAUGGGGGGACCAUCCUCCAAGGCUAAAUACUCCUGACUGACCGAUAGUGAACCAGUACCGUGAGGGAAAGGCGAAAAGAACCCCUGUGAGGGGAGUGAAAUAGAACCUGAAACCGUGUACGUACAAGCAGUAGGAGCACCUUCGUGGUGUGACUGCGUACCUUUUGUAUAAUGGGUCAGCGACUUAUAUUCAGUGGCAAGGUUAACCGUAUAGGGGAGCCGUAGCGAAAGCGAGUCUUAACUGGGCGCUCAGUCUCUGGAUAUAGACCCGAAACCGGGUGAUCUAGCCAUGGGCAGGUUGAAGGUUGAGUAACAUCAACUGGAGGACCGAACCGACUAAUGUUGAAAAAUUAGCGGAUGACUUGUGGCUAGGGGUGAAAGGCCAAUCAAACUCGGAGAUAGCUGGUUCUCCCCGAAAGCUAUUUAGGUAGCGCCUCGGACGAAUACUACUGGGGGUAGAGCACUGUUAAGGCUAGGGGGUCAUCCCGACUUACCAACCCUUUGCAAACUCCGAAUACCAGUAAGUACUAUCCGGGAGACACACGGCGGGUGCUAACGUCCGUCGUGGAGAGGGAAACAACCCAGACCGCCAGCUAAGGUCCCAAAGUAUUGCUAAGUGGGAAACGAUGUGGGAAGGCUCAGACAGCUAGGAUGUUGGCUUAGAAGCAGCCAUCAUUUAAAGAAAGCGUAAUAGCUCACUAGUCGAGUCGGCCUGCGCGGAAGAUGUAACGGGGCUAAGCAAUACACCGAAGCUGCGGCAAUGUCUUUUAGACAUUGGGUAGGGGAGCGUUCUGUAAGCCGUUGAAGGUGAAUCGUAAGGUUUGCUGGAGGUAUCAGAAGUGCGAAUGCUGACAUGAGUAACGACAAAGGGGGUGAAAAACCUCCUCGCCGGAAGACCAAGGGUUCCUGUCCAACGUUAAUCGGGGCAGGGUGAGUCGACCCCUAAGGUGAGGCCGAAAGGCGUAAUCGAUGGGAAACGGGUUAAUAUUCCCGUACUUCUGACUAUUGCGAUGGGGGGACGGAGAAGGCUAGGUGGGCCAGGCGACGGUUGUCCUGGUUCAAGUGCGUAGGCUUGAGAGUUAGGUAAAUCCGGCUCUCUCUAAGGCUGAGACACGACGUCGAGCUACUACGGUAGUGAAGUCAUUGAUGCCAUGCUUCCAGGAAAAGCCUCUAAGCUUCAGAUAGUCAGGAAUCGUACCCCAAACCGACACAGGUGGUCGGGUAGAGAAUACCAAGGCGCUUGAGAGAACUCGGGUGAAGGAACUAGGCAAAAUGGUACCGUAACUUCGGGAGAAGGUACGCUCUUGAUGGUGAAGUCCCUCGCGGAUGGAGCUGACGAGAGUCGCAGAUACCAGGUGGCUGCAACUGUUUAUUAAAAACACAGCACUGUGCAAAAUCGCAAGAUGACGUAUACGGUGUGACGCCUGCCCGGUGCCGGAAGGUUAAUUGAUGGGGUUAGCGCAAGCGAAGCUCUUGAUCGAAGCCCCGGUAAACGGCGGCCGUAACUAUAACGGUCCUAAGGUAGCGAAAUUCCUUGUCGGGUAAGUUCCGACCUGCACGAAUGGCGUAAUGAUGGCCACGCUGUCUCCACCCGAGACUCAGUGAAAUUGAAAUCGCUGUGAAGAUGCAGUGUACCCGCGGCUAGACGGAAAGACCCCGUGAACCUUUACUACAGCUUGGCACUAAACAUUGAACCUACAUGUGUAGGAUAGGUGGGAGGCUAUGAAGACGUGACGCCAGUUGCGUUGGAGCCGUCCUUGAAAUACCACCCUUGUAUGUUUGAUGUUCUAACUUAGACCCUUAUCUGGGUUGAGGACAGUGCCUGGUGGGUAGUUUGACUGGGGCGGUCUCCUCCCAAAGAGUAACGGAGGAGCACGAAGGUGGGCUAAUCACGGUUGGACAUCGUGAGGUUAGUGCAAUGGCAUAAGCCCGCUUAACUGCGAGAAUGACGGUUCGAGCAGGUGCGAAAGCAGGUCAUAGUGAUCCGGUGGUUCUGUAUGGAAGGGCCAUCGCUCAACGGAUAAAAGGUACUCCGGGGAUAACAGGCUGAUACCGCCCAAGAGUUCAUAUCGACGGCGGUGUUUGGCACCUCGAUGUCGGCUCAUCACAUCCUGGGGCUGAAGUCGGUCCCAAGGGUAUGGCUGUUCGCCAUUUAAAGUGGUACGCGAGCUGGGUUUAGAACGUCGUGAGACAGUUCGGUCCCUAUCUGCCGUGGGCGUUGGAAGAUUGAAGGGGGCUGCUCCUAGUACGAGAGGACCGGAGUGGACGAACCUCUGGUGUUCGGGUUGUGUCGCCAGACGCAUUGCCCGGUAGCUAAGUUCGGAAUUGAUAAGCGCUGAAAGCAUCUAAGCGCGAAGCGAGCCCUGAGAUGAGUCUUCCCUGACAGUUUAACUGUCCUAAAGGGUUGUUCGAGACUAGAACGUUGAUAGGCAGGGUGUGUAAGCGUUGUGAGGCGUUGAGCUAACCUGUACUAAUUGCCCGUGAGGCUUAACCAU